AUUCCAUAGCCAUUUUGGCAUUCUGUCCACCUCCACUAAUAUUAAAUGGUGACAGUUGGAGGUGGCCAGUAGGCCAAACGGGCUCUGUGAA
rfam:Glycine soja cultivar W05 scaffold3442_42, whole genome shotgun sequence.